rnacentral:rRNA from 1 species
UACGGGGGGGGCAAGCGUUGUUCGGAAUUACUGGGCGUAAAGGGCUCGUAGGUGGCCAACUAAGUCAGACGUGAAAUCCCCCGGCUUAACCGGGGAACUGCGUCUGAUACUGGAUGGCUUGAGUUUGGGAGAGGGAUGCGGAAUUCCAGGUGUAGCGGUGAAAUGCGUAGAUAUCUGGGGGAACACCGGUGGCGAAGGCGGCAUCCUGGACCAACACUGACGCUGAGUGAGCGAAAGCCAGGGGAGCAAACGGG